rnacentral:antisense_RNA from 1 species
CCAAAAUGGUUUUACAUAUUUUAUAAUUGUCGUCUGAUUGAAAACAAGAAU